GAAGUGGUGGCCAGGAUGAUCUUGAACCGUCCUUCUGGAUCUACAGUUUCACCAUUGCUCAAAGCAAAUCAGAGCUCCACCUUUCAGAUUUGCCCUCUCAGGCAGAAACUCCAUCCUGACUUGUCCUUGACUGUAGCUCACAUCUGCAAACCAGAUGUGGAGAAUGCACCGUUGAAUUUGCCAGUGAGGUCAGUAGAGAGAAUCCUGGACUGAGACAAGUCAGUGCGUCUUGAUUUUGAUGUCCUUGGGCAAGUGAGAUGACCUUCUAGGGCUUUAGUUCUCAUGUCUGUAAAAUGGGGAUAGUCAUGCUACUCCAGUGCUGUGAUGCACACCUGUACUUCUAGCACUGUAGGAGGCUGAGGCAGGAGGAUCCUAAGUUUGAGCUCAGCCUGAGGACAAUAUACCAGGGUCACAUACCGGAGAUGGGGUGAGCUGUGGAGGGGACAUCUGAGCACCUGCAGAGGUCUGAGGAGGAGUCUUCGGCUGGGCAGGCUGGCAGCAGGAUGCAGGGUGGGCACCCGCUCACCCUGGAGGUUCUGAGUUUCCCGGACCAGGGAGGAAGCCACCGAAGCUUAUGGCUGCCAGGAAGUGCUGCCGUCUCCAGUGGGAGGUUAGAUCAGAGGAGCUGAGGUUGAAGCUGGGUUGUUUGUACCCUUAAAGCCUGGAUUUGGACUUUACCUGGAGCCCAAACAUUCCCAGUUGACCCAGGGGCCUGGAAGAAGAGAAGGAGAGGAGGGCCAUUGCUGGGGGCUCAGAUUCUCCAGUGUCCAGCAUCCUGCUGUUCCUUGGUGUGUGCCUGCGAAGCCCUUUAAGGAGGCGCCGCGCUCUUCCUGGUGCCCCGAAGAUGGAUAGGAAACACCCGCAAAUGGACCAAGGCAGAGGCAGUAUCCCUCGGCUGUGUGGCUUCCUUGCCGGCCCUGUCCCUCUGAGGCUUCUACUCUCUGCUCCCUCCUGGCGAGGAAAUGUGGACCUUCCAGACGGUUGAUGCCAUUUCCCAGGAACCUGGGAUCUUGGCAGACGAUGCUGACAUAUUCUCAAAGACUGGUUGGUGGAGUUUGCUCGAUUUUGGUUCCUCUUUCAAAAUGUCCUCACUGGCGCAUUUGUUCAUUUUCUCUUUUUCACUCGGGCCCCAUCAAUGUGUUCCAGCAGCCCCUGUUGCUCUUUUCUUCGCCCAGACAAGCAGAUUUUCCUACAGCUUCAGAACUGGAGCUGGCCUUUGUUACUGGUGAUGUGGUUGACUUAGGUUUAGGGGCCAUGCAGUAAGGAAACCUCAUAAGACCCAGAGAUUUACAGAGCCUGGGCCAGGGAGUUGCUUCCUGCAAGGAGCUCGGACACCUGAGCCUCUGAGAGGCAGGGAGCGCUGUCCCUGGAGUUCGGACCUGGUAGACAUUCCUGCAAGUUCACGGAGUGACCUUGAGACUGGACUGGCCCCGGCUCCAGCUCCGUCUAUUUCUAUUCCCGUCCAGAUGCCAAUUUGGGCUUAGUCCUUCUGGGAGAGAAUCAAGGCCAGUGUGUCUCGAGCAUAGCAGGUGGUGAGUGUCCCCUCCAGUGGGGACAGACAGAGGGGAACAGAGGGAGCCAGGGCCCCAGAGGCCCAGCAUGAAAAAUUUGGAUUUCAUUCCAAGUAAAAUGGAUUGAAGCGGGAGAGUGACUUAAAAUGAUUAACCUCAUAAAUAUCAAGUGUCGGCAAAGACGAGGAGCAAAGGAGUCCCUCCUAGGUGCUGGAGGUUGGUAGUUGUACAAGCCAGUGUUAGAGUUGGACCAGCACAUAUUCCACAACCCAGCAAGUCUGCUCCUGCAUAUGUGUCUCAGAGAAACGUGUGUGUGUAGGAAUGUUCCUAAUGAGGCUAUCACAGUGUCCAUCAGCAAGAGGAUGGACAAGUGCAUUGUGGUAUAUUCUUACAAUGGAGUGAAAAAGAAUAAACCACUGCUCUGUUCAAGAACAUGUAUGUAAUCUUAUGUAUCUCAUCAUAUGUAAUGAUGAGACUGAGUGGUAACAUACAGAAUAUAUAUGAUGUGAUUCAAUGGAUGCAAAGCUUAAGGAAAGGUAAAACAAAGCAAUAACAUUGAAGAAUGCACAUAUAGAUGGUGAAAUUGUAAAGAGAAGCAAGAAAAAAUGUCUUUUGACAGAUGAAUGUAGAAAAUGUGAUAUAAUGUGAGUACUAAAGAAUGAUAUCGUGCCAGUUUUUUUUUGGUACCAGGGAUCGAACUUGGAUCCUUGUGGUUGUGCAGCAGGCAGCAAAACCACUGAGUUAAAUCCCCAGCCCUGUCUUGCCAUUUUUAAUAGCAUGGAUGUACCUAGAAGAACUUAUGCUAAAUGAAAUAAGCUAGUCAUAUAGGGGCAAGGACUGCAGGCUUCCACUUAGAUGAGGUAACUAAAAGAGUCAAACUCACAGAAUCCAGAAUAGAAGGGUGAUCGCCAGAGGCUGGAGGUCUGGGAGGGGAAAUGAAAGUGGGAAAUUGUUCUUCAAAGAGUGUACCUUCUAUUAUGCAAGAUGAAUAAUCUCUAGAGAUCUGCUGUACAAGAUAGAAUCUGUAGUUAAUAAGGGCUUGUGCACUUCAAAGUACGUUAAGAGGAUACAUCUCACGUUAAGUGUUUGUUAUAUUUUGUGUGUAAUUUGUGUCUUUCCCAACAGUCCAUAUGGAAAAGCUUAGACCCCAGGGUGGCAGUAUUGUGGGGUCCUGUGAACCAUUAAGGGGUGUGGCUUAGCGGGGGGCUCUUAGGUCACUGUAAGUGUGCCCUCUCGGGGAAUUGUGGCACCUCAUUCUCUUCCUCCUCCUUGCUCUGCUCCAAUUGGAGAUGUGAAUGUUUUUCUCCAGCGUGUUCCCAUCCAUGCCAUGAGGUGCUGAAGUGAAGGCAUGGCUCUCACCAAGCUUGUACUAUACUGUUUGGGCUUUGAACCUCCCAAAAUUGUGAGCUAAAUAAACCAUUUAUCUUUAGUGUUAAAGCUGACCAACACAGUAUUCUUCCAAAACAAAACUAAACAACAACACCCAGACAAACAAAAAGCCCCAAUGCUCAUGAAAGAACACAAAUUUUUGGAGGUUAUGUUUAGUACCUUGAUUGAAGUGGUGAUAAUCAUGGGUUUAUUUAUAUCUCCAGAUGCAUUAAGGAAUACAUUAAAUAGGUGUGAUUUUAAUGUAUCAAUUUUACCUCAAUAAAACCAAAAGAGAAGAAAAAAAAAGAAAAAAGAAAAGUAAGGAAAGAUGAUGAUAUAAAACAGGAUGGUGGUUAGUGCUAAGGAGGAGGAAGAGGGUUGUUGAUGAGGAGGAGCCCAAGGCAGGGAAAGAGAAGAGAAAGAGAGACUCAAGUACCCACUGCCUCCAACUGGACACCACCUUCCACAGUUUGCACCAUCUCCCAAUAGCCCAUCAAAUUAUGCAUCUAUUAAUGGAUUAAUUCAUCAAUGAGAUCGUAGCCUCAUCAUCCAAUCACCUCCCCAAAGCCUCACUUCUGGACGUUGCUGUGUGGGACCAAACCUUCAACACAUGGGUCUUUGGGGGACACUGAUCAUACUGCCAACUCCCAAGUAUGGCAGAAAGGAGAGUGGAAAGUGCCAGGUCCCUAAUGACAUCACUGAUCUGCAGAAAUAACCCUGGAUUGGUCCUAAAUUUGAACUUCUCAUGGGGAGCAACAACCCUUUGUUUAAGUCCUUUUGAGUUCCAUAUUCUGUUACUUGAAGCAAAAGGAAAAAAAAGAAAAUCAUUUAAAUGCAAGGUUUGUUUGAGAAGGAUUGGGGUGGGUGGGAGCUUAAUCCAGCCUCAUCCUCUGCAAUUCGUCCCUCCAAACCCCAAGAAGUCAUGUGACCCUUCUGGUGCAGCUCCAUAAGGGAGUCAAGGGCUUGCCAUGUUCCUGUCUCAGACUGGGAUGUUUACCUCUUUUAGAAUCUGGGCCUUUUCAGACUGGCUUCUCUCCCGAAUGCAUUUAAGAUUCCUCCAUGUCUUUUCAUUGCCAGGUAGCUCAUUUCUUUUUAGUGCUGAAUACUAUUCCAAUGCCAGUAUGUACUACAGUGUCUUAGUCACUUUCUUUGUCUCUGAGACAAAAUACCCAACACCCUCAACUUAAAGGAGGAGAGGUUUAUUUUGGCUCAGUUUUUAGAAGUUUCAGUCCAUACUGAGCCAUCCCCAGGCAGAAGAAGCCUCGUGGAAGGGUCUGGCGGAGGAAAGCUGCUCACCUUAUGGUGGCAAGGAAACAGAGUAAAGGGAGGAAGCAGGAAGGGAGAUAAACUCUUCUGGAUCAUGACCCCUGUGACCCUGCUCUUUGGACCAAACCCCACCUCCUAACAGCAAGUCAGCUAUAAGCCCCUAAAAUACAAUCACCUUCCAAACACGUGAGGCCUUAGGGGCCAUUUUGGUCUAAACCAUAGCACAUAGUUUAUCUAGUCACCUGCUGAAGGACAUCUUGUUUGCUUCCAAGUUUAAGUGAUUAUAAAUGAAGCUGAUAUGAACAUUUAUGUGUACAGGUGUUUGUGUAGCUCUAAGUUUUUAUCUCAUUUGGAUGAACAUCAAGAAGCACACCUGCUGGAUUGUACAUAUGGUAAGAGUACAUUUACUUUCAUAAGAAAGUGCCAAACUGUCUUCCAAGUGGCCACACCAUUGCUCUGUUUACAGUAGAGCUUUUUUUCCCUCCCUAGCCUGCUCCUCCACACUCUCAUCUUCUUACCAUAACUGGUUCCAAAGUUGCUUCCACAUUUUCAGAUGUUAUAAGAGCAAUGCUUCACUCCUGGUACCAAUUUUUCUGUCUUAGUCUGUUUUGUGUUACUAUAACAAAAUACCUGAUGCUAGGUAAUGUAUAAAGAAAAAAGGUUUAUUUUGCUCCUGACUCUUGUGGAUGGAAAGUUCAUGGUACUGACAGGGCCCAUGGCCAUAUUACAAGAUGGCAUAUGACAUCACAUGAUGAGACAGGAAAUGAGGCCAGGGAGGGGCCAGCCUUGCUUUUUUAAAACAACCUGAUCUUGUGGGCAGUAAUCUGCUCUUGUGGGACCUAACACACUCUGUGAGCACUAAGCCUGUUUAAAGGCCUUAAUAGCUUUCAAAGCUGAUCCCAGCUUGGUCACUUUGGGGAUUAAGCUCAACAUGAGUGUUGGUGGGGAAGAACUGUAUUUACAUAGCAGUCAUGAUGUAUAAUUACUUUUUAUAUGUGGUUGGAUUUGGUUUGGUAAUGUUUUGGUGAGGAUUUUUGCAUCUGUGUUUAUGAGAGAGAUUGGCCUGUAGUUUUCCUUUCUUGCAGUGUCUUUUGCUUUGGUAUUAGGGUAGUUGUUGGUUUCAUAAAACAAGUUAGAAAGUAUCUCUUUGCUUCUAUUUUUUGCAAGAGAUUGCAGAGAACUGGCAUAAUUUCUUCCUUAAAUGUUUGUGCAACCAUCUGGAGCUGCGCUUUCUGUUUUAGAACAUUAUUAAUUAUUGAUUCAAUUUCUUUAAUAGAUGGAGACAAAUCCAGAUCAUCUGUUUCUCUUUCUGUGAGUUUUGGUAGACUGUGGCUUUCAAGAAAUCAAUCCAUUUCGUUUUAGAUUAUUGUAUCUGUGUGCAUAGAGUUGUGCAUGAAGUUCCUUUAUUAUCAGUUUAGAGCCCAAGGAGCCUCUCCUUCAUUUUUUAUCUGAGUACUUUGUAUCCUCUCUUGCUUUUCACCUGGCUAGAGGGCUAUUGAUUUUAUUGAUCAUUUCAAACAACCAACUUUCGGCUUUCUGUUUUCAGUAUUAUUGAUUUCUGCUCUGAUUUUUUAUUAUUUCUUUUCUUCUGCUUUCUGUGGAUUAAUUUGUUCUUCUUUCUGUAGUUCACUAAGGAAAGCUUAGACGAUUGACUUUAGGCCUUUCUUUUUUCAAAUAUACGUGGUCAGUGCUAUAAAUUUCCCUCUAAGUACUUCAUCUGCUGCAUCUCACAAUUGUUUUUUUGCGGUAUCAGGGAUUGAACUCAGGACCUUGUGCUUGCGAGUCAAGGCAUCUCACAAAUUUUGACAGUUGCAUUUUCAUUUUUAUUGAGCUUAAUAAAUUUUAAAAUUUCUUUUGAGACAACUUUGACCUAUAUGUUAUUUUUUUUUUUGGUACCGGGGAUUGAACUCGGGUCCUUGCACUUGCGAAGCAGGCGGCGGAACCACUGAGCUAAAUCUCCGGCCCUAUGUGUUAUUUUUUUAAAAUAAAAAAAGUUAGUACAUGUUUGCAGUACACAGUGAUUAUAUUCAUUGUGAGGAGUUGGUAUAUUACAUAACACAUCUUCAUACUUUUCUGUGUGUUUUUUGUUUGUUUGUUCUUUUGAGACAGAAUCUUGCUUAUGUAGUUUGGACUGGCCUUGAACUCACUAUGUAGCCCAGGCUGGCCUCAAACUCAAGAUCAUUCUCUUGCCUCAGCCUCCUGAAUUCUGGGAUUGCAGGCAUUCACCACUACGUCUGAUUCUAUGUGUUCUUUUGAAAUGUCUUGUUUUGUGUUAUUUGGGAGUUUUCAGCUAUCUUACUGCUAUUGAUUUCUACUUUAAUUUUAUUAUGGUCUGCGAACAUACUUUGUAUAAUUUUCAUUAUUUUGACUUAAGUAUGUUUUUAUGGUGUGGAAUACAUUCCAUUUUAGUGAAUGUUUCAUGUGAGACUGAGAAAAAUGGCCACCUUUAGGUUCCCUCUGUGGUCCACAUGGAAAUGCUUCCUUCUCACUUCUGGACCUCUAGCCUUUUCUUCCCGACCUCCCUCCUCGUACAAGGUAAUGGGGUCUGGGCCUCCAGUCAAUGCGGGACAAAGAAGAGCUCAAAGAGAUCAAGGAGGCCAGCUUUUCUCGUGGUCAGAUCCCCCACCUCUCCAGCCGAUUCACCAGUCUGGGCAAAGGGGUGAAUGGAAGUCUUCUAGGACUCCAGAACUUUCCAUCAACCCACUGGGGAGCUGGAUCUUCUUUCUUCUUUGGAGAGAGGGCAGUAAAUUUCCUUGGAUUCACGAAGAAUGGUUCAUUUCCAGCCCAUCGAAGAUAACACAAAGAUCAAACAUUUGAAUGGACCAGAAGGACCCAAUAGCUGAAGCCACAAGCUGCAGUUUGGAUAAAGAUCACAAGAUCUCCGCGAUGAGCGGUUAUAGGUGCCACACAUGUUGAUCGGAGCAGACAUCUUGGAGGAACAGCCGGGUGGCAUGGUGCACAGGACUGUCCACGAGGCUGAUCAGGACGUGGACAGGGCUGUAUCUGUCACAGAAUUUGUUAAGGCUUUGGAGCAGGUGGACGUAGAAUAGAAAAUGAGCAUCCGGUUUCUUCACUAAAGGACAGAGACCGAACCAUUCCCCACUGUCUGGUAUUUAAGAACUGGGACUUAAAGAGUCCUCCUGUCCACCAGCCCUACCUCUCCACCACUCUUCCGCUUCUCUUUGCACAACAGCCCCAAACAUGCUCUGUCCAUCCAAACCCCCUGUGUGGUGUAAACAGGGCUGCGCAGAAUGGCACUCGCAGUCUCUUUCUGUUUGGUAGCCACCCUCAGCUCUGCAUUUCUCAAUACCAUCUUCCUCUGUUCUGCUGCUAAACACCAUACAUCCAACCUGCCUGAGGAAGAGAGAGGGAAUCAUGCCAGACUGGCUGGCCAUGCUCUCCCUGGGUAGAGAUGUGGCCACACUGCCCUCCCUCCAGCAAGGAUUUAGACGUUCCUGCAUCCUCUUCUACAUCCUUUGCUCCUACUUUUCCUGUCACUUGGCCUACUGUCCACUUGUUCUCUCAGCCUCCUUGGCUUUUACUAAACCUCAAGAUUCCCUCUGUUUUGCUUGGCACCCCAAGCUAUACCCAGUAAAUCUAUUUCAGAGUUGGCAGCAUGGUUCAGAGAUCUGGCGGUUUUGAUCUGCCUUCACCUGUAAGUGGGCCUCUGGGAUGCUGUCUUGCUAGGAGCUUUUCGGGAGCCAACACCUGUUCUGUCAUCAAAGGGCUACUGAGUGGCGAUGUCCUUGAAAGGUCGCCUUGGUGAGCAAGUGUUCUAGGUGGCCCCCAGGUCUCUGUAGCUCUGGGUUCUGAGUCUCAGCCUUUGCACCUGCAUGGCUUCUCUGUGAGUGCCAUGAUUACUCAGAAAACAGUCACAGGCCUGCAGGUUUGCUUAGCUUUGGACACCAUUGCCACCAGAAUGGUCACUCAGAGAAUGCUCCCUGGACCUUCUUAUGGGGUUUUGAACAGGGAGGCUGGGAGCCCCCUGCGCCCCCUGCACUCACACAACCUGGGGUAUCCUUGGUGUGAUGAGCACCAGAAGUUUUCUCCCUUCACCUUUCCAAGUAGAGCAACUAGUGUUUCAGAAGUGUUUAAUUCAACCCAGCUUGAGAGAAUUAAAGACUGUCAUCCGUGUCCUGAAGUUUUGCACAAAAUUCUUUAUACAUUUUACACUUGGCAGCUGUUAAUGCUGGAAGCCACAGCCAGCCUCUAAUACAGGUUGGAAACAUUGAAGGUAUUGUUGUCUCAGCUGCCUGGUUACGUGACCGUCCUAGAUCCUUGUGUGGACCGCUGCUAAUCCCUUGGAAACAGGGGUCUGGCACUGAUGGCACAGCCUGAGGUUGCGUUACAGGACACUGAGUGAGCCAGAGCAGCUUAUCUGCCAAAGCCGGCUCAGUAUAGACCUCCUGAAUGGGGCCGCUGGCAUCUUCUGGCUGGGAAUCCAUUCAUCCAUACAUCUGCCCCUGGCUAACUGUCUUUGACUCAUUGCUUACUUAUUUCCUUGCUACAGAAGGCUGUCCAAGAUGUGCAGAUGUUUCUUUAGGAAGGGAGUUGCUAAAAAAGAUACCAGUGCAAAGGGAUGGAUAAGGGUGGGGCAUGGGGGAGUGGCCAGGUUGGAUGGCCAAAGUAUAAAUGCAUGAGGGACUCUAGGAGGUAUCAGCCUGACUUUGUUCUUUUUUUUUUUUUUGGUUUUUUCGGUACCAG
rnacentral:lncRNA from 1 species